UACGGGGGGGGCAAGCGUUGUUCGGAAUUACUGGGCGUAAAGGGCUCGUAGGUGGCCAACUAAGUCACACGUGAAAUCCCCAGGCUUAACCUGGGAACUGCGUGUGAUACUGGAUGGCUUGAAUUCGGGAGAGGGAUGCAGAAUUCCAGGUGUAGCGGUGAAAUGCGUAGAUAUCUGGAGGAACACCGGUGGCGAAGGCGGCAUCCUGGACCAAUACUGACGCUGAGGAGCGAAAGCCAGGGGAGCAAACGGG
rnacentral:rRNA from 1 species